rnacentral:rRNA from 1 species
AUUGAACGCUGGCGGCAUGCCUUACACAUGCAAGUCGAACGGUAACAGGUCUUCGGAUGCUGACGAGUGGCGAACGGGUGAGUAAUACAUCGGAACGUGCCCGAUCGUGGGGGAUAACGCAGCGAAAGCUGUGCUAAUACCGCAUACGAUCUACGGAUGAAAGCAGGGGACCGCAAGGCCUUGCGCGGACGGAGCGGCCGAUGGCAGAUUAGGUAGUUGGUGGGAUAAAAGCUUACCAAGCCGACGAUCUGUAGCUGGUCUGAGAGGACGACCAGCCACACUGGGACUGAGACACGGCCCAGACUCCUACGGGAGGCAGCAGUGGGGAAUUUUGGACAAUGGGGGAAACCCUGAUCCAGCCAUGCCGCGUGCAGGAUGAAGGCCUUCGGGUUGUAAACUGCUUUUGUACGGAACGAAAAGAUCUCUUCUAAUAAAGGGGGUUCAUGACGGU